rnacentral:tRNA from 1 species
GCGGAAGUGGUGGAACUGGCAGACACACCAUCUUGAGGGGGUGGCGGGCUUCGCCCAUGCGGGUUCAAAUCCCGCCUUCCGCA